rnacentral:rRNA from 1 species
AGAUUGAACGCUGGCGGCAUGCCUUACACAUGCAAGUCGAACGGCAGCACGGGAGCAAUCCUGGUGGCGAGUGGCGAACGGGUGAGUAAUAUAUCGGAACGUGCCCAGUCGUGGGGGAUAACGUAGAGAAAUUUACGCUAAUACCGCAUACGAUCCAAGGAUGAAAGCGGGGGACCGUAAGGCCUCGCGCGACUGGAGCGGCUGAUAUCAGAUUAGCUUGUUGGUGAGGUAAAAGCUCACCAAGGCGACGAUCUGUAGCUGGUUUGAGAGAACGACCAGCCACACUGGACUGAGACACGGCCCAGACUCCUACGGGA